GUCAGGUUAGGCAAACGGUUAAGCCACAGCCCUCUCAAGGCUGCAUUUGCGGGUUCGAAUCCCGUACCUGAUACCA
rnacentral:tRNA from 1 species